GACGAACGCUGGCGGCGUGCUUAACACAUGCAAGUCGAACGAAGUGGCGAACGGGUGAGUAACGCGUAAUCAACCUGCCCUUCAGAGGGGCACAACAGUUGGAAACGACUGCUAAUACCCCAUACUGAAGGAGGGGCUUGCGUCUGAGUAGCUCGGUGGAGGGGUAACGGCCCACCAAGGCGAUGAUCAGUAGGCGGGCUGAGGGGAGGGACGGCCAAAGUGGGGCUGGGAAACGGGCCAGAAUCCUACGGGAGGGAGCAGGUGGGAAACUUCCGGAAUGGACGAAAGUCUGGCGGGGCAACGGCGCGGGAGUGAUGACGGCCUUCGGGUUGGAAAGCUCUGUUAGUCGGGACGCGGUACCGGAAUAGAAAGCCACGGCUAACUACGUGCCAGCAGCCGCGGUAAUAC
rnacentral:rRNA from 1 species